AGCAGCCGCGGUAAUUCCAGCUCCAAUAGCGUAUAUUAAAGUUGUUGCAGUUAAAAAGCUCGUAGUUGAAUUUCGGGAUCAUCAGGUUGGUCGUGCCUCUGGUAUGUACUGAUUUCGAUGGUUCCUCCUUCUUGAAGAACCGUAAUGCCAUUAAUUUGGUGUUGCGGGGAAACAGGACUGUUACUUUGAAAAAAUUAGAGUGUUUAAAGCAGGCAAUCGCUUGAAUACAUUAGCAUGGAAUAAUGAAAUAGGACGUUCGAUCCUAUUUUGUUGGUUUCUAGGAUUGACGUAAUGAUUAAUAGGGAUAGUUGGGGGCAUUAGUAUUCAAUUGCCAGAGGUGAAAUUCUUGGAUUUAUUGAAGACUAACUACUGCGAAAGCAUUUGCCAAGGAUGUUUUCAUUAAUCAAGAACGAAAGUUAGGGGAUCGAAGACGGUCAGAUACCGUCGUAGUCUUAACCAUAAACUAUGCCGACUAGGGAUCGGAUGAUGUUAAUUUUUAAUGACUCAUUCGGCGCCUUAA
rnacentral:rRNA from 1 species